AGCUGUGAUUGAAGCAAAGCCACCUCCUGCGUAAAGGAGACCGGGGCUUUGCCUGUUCUUCAGAUGAAGGCGUGGGAUAGUUAACUCGGAGAGUCCUCUAGUGGAAAUGCUGUUUGUACUGGUCAAACAGCUGUUUUCCUUCUCAAAACGAUUUUCCAAGCAAGCAAGCUAUCCGAGCAAAAGAUGGCACGACAUUGCACUCUUAUCUUCUACUAAACUACCCUCAGCUUAAUAAAAUGUUGCAAUUAUGCUGUCCACUACACCUAGAUUUGAAGAACUGACAGGCUCCUACAGUUUUUAGGUCAGAGAGAACCAUUUUCUCUUCAAGCUGAACUUCAGCAUAACCAAGAGACAGAACCAAAGUUUAUCUUGUCAUCUUUACUCAUCCUGCUUCAAAUCUCACACAAUACACCGUAAAUCAUAGGGGCUCCUUGCUUCUUGCUGCAUGACCUGUUCCUAAUCCUUUAGAAAACAACAAUCCCACUUCUGAAAGAUAACUGUGAAAGAAACUAUGGAAGAAAGAAAAUGGAUGCUUCUACCAUUGAAGACAGGCAUUUGUCACUUCAGAGGAUGGAAGAAAAUGGUGAAAAAUUUAAACAAAAAGACUUAACCCUGAGGAUCAAGUUUUCACCUUGGUUCCUCAAGAAUCCUCUUUUUAUUGCUUUCCCUGGGCCAGACUUAAUUGUGCUGUCCUAAAUUCUCAUUAUUGGUCCAGCCAGCAUUCAAUUUGAUUGAAAGACAGGCAUUCUUAGCUCAAAAUACUCCAAAUCCAAGAAGUGCCUGAUGGAUCCUUCAAUAAGUAUGCACAGAAACACCACUGUAGGCAAUAGGGAAAUAAUCACAGCUGGCACAUUAAAUGUUUCUUCUUUAUAAAGUACAGGUUCAAUUUUAAAAUACUAUAUGCACUAUAGUUUAUAAACAAUAUCUAGAAUCCUUCUGUCUUUUAUA